GGGGACUUCGUGCCUCACUUUCUGCAAAAUAAAUAGAGUUAGACCCUUGCCCCCUCCGGAUUCGACUACUUACACAUUAACGAUUAGCAUGUCAGCAUUUAUCUCUCCAAAUAAUGCACAUAUCGUGAUUGCGUCCGUUGGAAUUAUGUAAAUCCCGGUGGACUUUGGACAAGGCUUUCUUAGGGGGUUAUUAUGUGGACAACAUAUUAACCCCGACUAGGUUUGACCAUGAUGCAUGAGGGGGAAAGGCACGGAACUGUCGACUGCACCACUGAUCGACUAGUUUUACCGCAAAUAAGCCUUUCUGAAUUUAAAGGGUGAUUUUAGGAAGUGCGCAGACACUUAUCAAGUGUCGCUAUGGUAUUAAUACGCAUGAUUAGAAUAUAAUGUUGAGCAUGGAGUUAUUCAAAAGAAAAUAACACAUUGCCAAGUAUUUGCAUGAUGAAUAAUGAUAAAAUGUGGCAUUUUAAUAAUUGUAAAGACAUUUAAGAAAAGAUAAACAAGGAGACAAGUCAGUUUCCAUAGUAAAAGAGGUAAAAUAGGGGAGGAAAAUCAUAAAUGAAUAAGGAUAGGCAAAUAAAUCCAUAUAGAAUGGAAAGGGGUGUGAAAGAAUUAACGGAAUAAUAAAGACAUGCUUAAAGACUAAUUCAUAGACAAGUUCGUUAUGGUAAGAGCUUAAAGAUUUUCCCAACAGAGUCGGCAUACUGUCGCGCCCCCUUUUUCUCGCGAAAUUGGGUUUCGACAUUUUUGGGACAACUCAUUUCCUUUUGGGAUGGGGUAAAGGAUUUGAAGAGUCGUCACCUAACGGAUUAAGGUGCGUUAGGACACCUAGAACAGUUAACUCAUAUAACCAGUUUACAUCACCAGAGAUUGGGUAAAGGCUCAAAAUUACCUUGAGGGGAAGGUGUUAAGCACCCCUCGAGGUCCACAACGGUGGGUCCCAACUGAACUUAAAUUAAGCGAAUUAGUCUUAAAAGGGAAGAAAACAAAUAAGACAAAUACAAUAUUCAACUUACUUUUUACACAUUAGUAUAGGGGGUGGUCCUAAGUUUUUUAGCCUAUAGGAUCAUUACAUGCAAUGCUUUGCAACUCCCACAAGUUGGGGUUUUACUCAUAGCAUUAGCGCAUGGGAUAUCAUUUCCUUUACUACCCAAUUACUAUCUUUCAGUUGUUACCUAAGCAUUCUAGUAGCUUCUAACUCGUGUCUUAUGCGUGCACUACCCAUCCCUUUCCUAUGGUCCUGGAGGUAUUUAUGACCUCUAUUUAGAGUGGUUCUAGACUGACCUAUGUUGCUUAAAUGAGAAAAAUCUAGGUGACAAACAAAAUUCAAAAAGAACUAUCAUGUAAGGAGCAAAUAAAGGCUCAUAUAAACCUUCACAAGUAGACAACAAAUACACGCAGUUAAAUAAAUAGAUUUCAUUAAUUUAGGAUCCUAUAGGUAGGAUAUCUAGAUGAGCAAAAACAAAAUGCAAGACAUCAGUUUAUUAAGGCGGGCAUCUGGACCUAUCAAUUUGCUUAUUGAUUUUAUUAAACCUUGAAUCUGGGCAUUUUCAGACAGUAAGAUAUCACAAUUUUAGGCCUAGAAUCAUUGGUAACCCCUACAGAUUUUACCUAAGUAAUAACCAGAAUUAAUCGAACUCAAAACUGAUUAACAGAACUCUAUAGGCAUGAUAUCUACAACCUAUAACGUGAUUUCUAAGUGAAUUACUGAUUUUAUCUCAUAAAGACAGGUUUUAUCCCUUUUAGAUCCUAUAGGCAUGCUUUCAAAUUAGUUUAAACCCCUAUAGGUGGGAUUUCUAAGUGUUGACUUGAUUUAAACCUCUAUAAGCAUGGUUUCUAAGUUUACAAACUGAUUUCACCCUAUAGGCACGAUAUCUAUUAGUUUAAAUCCUAUAGACGUGAUUUCUAGGUUUGAAACUGAUUCCUUUUAUUCUUAUAGGCAUGGUAUCUAACUUGAAACUGAUUUUUUACCUCCUAUAGGCAUGAUAUCUAUUAAUCACAUAUGGACAAAAUUUUAAGCAUGUUGCCAGGAAAGGUUAUUAUUCAAACAGAUAGAAUCUUAUAGACAUGGUCGCUAAAGCAUGUAAGUUAAAAAUGUUCAUGGAUACUAUGCAAUGGAAUUCUAAUGUAAGAGGCCUAUAAACAUGAUUUCUAGCGUGUGAGUGAAAUACAGAACAAAGCAAUCAGAAGAUUCUAUAGGCAUGAUCUUUAACAAGAAAUAACAUUCACAUAAUCACCAAUAAACCUACAGGCAUAAUUUCUACCCAAGUUUCAAAUAAAGAUAUAGAACCCCCCCCCCCCCCCCAGCUUUUACUAAUAAAUCCCAGAUCUAUUUAUUACAGAGAUUAUUACAGCCCAGAAUGAAUAAAUUACAUAACAAUAUCUUUUACACUAUAGGGAGCCUUAGCAGGCCCAAUAUAAACCUGGGAGCCAGGCCUUCAGACACAAUAACGCUGAAACAAUAGCAGGGAUCCACAACACCAUAAACCAGGAUUCUACUGUGUCUAAGUUCCCAAAGAGCCUCAGGGACCCCGGGCAACGCUCACACUAGAACCAAACAUUCAACACAAAAUUCACAAGAGAUUAGAAAACCAGCCCCAAUGUGUCAGAGUUCAAAGGAGUCUCAGGGACCCAAGGCAGUGCUCGUACUGGGGGUGGUAGAAACCUAGAUAACUAAGAGUAGAAGUUUGAAAUCCAGUAUAUAGAGGGUAAUGAGGAACAAGUUUAGAAAUUAGCACAUAUAGAAUAGUAACAGAACUACACUAGAGAACAAACAAACUCUUGUUCAGCAUAUAGUUCAACUAAGUUGAUAUUUGUUCAGACUAGAUACUCAUACCAACAUUUAAAGUAAUCAUAAAAGCAAAGAUACUUGAACUAACAUACAUAAUUAGCCAUACAUUACAUGCUUGCAGUUAGAACAGGGAACAUACAACCGAAUUGGACAGGGUUUCACAUUACUGGAGGUAACUUAUUUUAGCAUUAUCACUAAGUGAGAUCAUGUAGUCACAUAGAAAGCAGAAGCAUGCUGAAAAUUUAAAUAGACUAAUCGAAUAAAGCAGAUAGAACAUAAUAGAAUAAUAUGAGUUAAAGCAUACCAGUUGAGAAGAAAGCAAAUAGGAAUGCAAUAGCAGUUAGAAUCCAGAGAAUCUGGCCUUGGCUUUCAGCCGGCUAAAUAGUGCAGAAAUCAGAACAAUAGAAAGAGAAAGCUCAAGUUUUUUGAGAGCGAAGAAUUUGAAAGUUUUAAGUUGUAAAGUGUGUAAGUGUCUCAGUGUGUAAAGUCAGGACAGGGGAAGGGCUUUUAUAGCAUAUAAUAGAGUAAAACAAAUAAGGUAAUGAACCAAUAACACACAAAUAAGGUAUGAAAAUUAAUUAAGGUUAGCAUGAACCAAUUAACAAGACAUAAUCGAGUAAAGUCAGGCUAGUACUACUUGAUUUAAGGAAAACCUUAUACGGAAUCGACUAGUAAUUAAGUACUAGGUUAAAUAAGGUAAAGAAAUAAUUCCAGGAUUAAUUUGAAGUUUAAUUUAGGGGUGAUGGUACAUAGUUUAGUCAAUUAAUGAGCAAUCUGGCAAGUACUACUCAUAAUAAGGUAAGUAUCAUAUAGAACCAAUUAUCAAUCAGCAAAUAAGGAAAAGAAAUAAAGGAACAAGGUAGGACGAACAGAAUAGGGAAAGUAUCAGUACAUACGAGAAAGAUUAAAAUCUUGGUAAAGAUUUCAGAGGCCCUAGUUUUGGGGUAAAUAAAACUAGCCCGCAACUAACGACAAGAGUGGAAGAUGCAUAGUGGAAAAUAGACAGAAACAUUUAAAGGAAAAAAUACCAAAUAAUGACAACCCUAACUUAAUGUAAGCAAAAGAAAAAGCAGAAACACAAAAGCUUUAAUAAAAUACACGAAGACAUAUAGACGGAAAUAAUUAAGGUUUGAACCAUAUUUUGUUCGAAGAAUCAAAACCCUAGAUUUUAGGGUAAGUAAAAUCAGCAUAGAAAUAAAAAAGGAAACUAUAAUAGAGAUGGAAAUACAUAAAUUUAGUUCGUCUUUAAGAAAUCAUAAACGCUAAAUUUUAGGGUAAGCAGAAUCGAUCAGAAAUAGUAAAGAAAAUAUGAACAUAGAGGUAGAUAUAAUGAAACAUUAAAGGAAAAAUACAAAGGAGGAGAAACUAUUUUGGAUCUAGAAAGAUCUUGAGUCCUAAUUUUAAGGUAAGUAAAUGAUUUAACUAAAAUAAGUUGAUUUGUAAGUAAUAGAGCAAAUAUAGAUGGAAAAUAAUCAUAAAACAAACAGAAAUCGGACCAAAUCAAAAUCUGAAGCCCUAACUAAAAGAUACAAAAAUAUUUAUACUUACAGAGGUUAGGACGAACACAGACGGAAAUAAUCAACAUAUAAGAUAUUUUGAACCAUUCUGGUUUGAAUCUCUUGAGAUCACCUUGCCAUUUGAGGCGAACUAGUUUGAGUAAUAUAAAAAACGAGUAGCUGGCAAGGAGGUAAGGCCAAAUAUUGUAAGGAAUCAAGAGAUUAUUCCAUUUUUAGGUAAGAAUCGCAGGAUGGUGACAACAUUAGGGUUCGAUGAAGAGAGAAGGGGAGGAGAUGAGAGAAUACAGAGGCGAC
rnacentral:lncRNA from 1 species